UGGGGAAUUUUGGACAAUGGGGGAAACCCUGAUCCAGCCAUCCCGCGUGUGCGAUGAAGGCCUUCGGGUUGUAAAGCACUUUUGGCAGGAAAGAAACGUCGCGGGUUAAUACCCCGCGAAACUGACGGUACCUGCAGAAUAAGCACCGGCUAACUACGUGCCAGCAGCCGCGGUAAUACGUAGGGUGCAAGCGUUAAUCGGAAUUACUGGGCGUAAAGCGUGCGCAGGCGGUUCGGAAAGAAAGAUGUGAAAUCCCAGAGCUUAACUUUGGAACUGCAUUUUUAACUACCGGGCUAGAGUGUGUCAGAGGGAGGUGGAAUUCCGCGUGUAGCAGUGAAAUGCGUAGAUAUGCGGAGGAACACCGAUGGCGAAGGCAGCCUCCUGGGAUAACACUGACGCUCAUGCACGAAAGCGUGGGGAGCAAACAGGAUUAGAUACCCUGGUAGUCCACGCCCUAAACGAUGUCAACUAGCUGUUGGGGCCUUCGGGCCUUGGUAGCGCAGCUAACGCGUGAAGUUGACCGCCUGGGGAGUACGGUCGCAAGAUUAAAACUUAAAUG
rnacentral:rRNA from 1 species